CUGGCUCAGGAUGAACGCUAGCUACAGGCUUAACACAUGCAAGUCGUGGGGCAGCAUGGUCUUAGCUUGCUAAGGCUGAUGGCGACCGGCGCACGGGUGAGGAACGCGUAUCCAACCUACCCCAUAGUAGGGGAUAGCCCGUAGAAAUGCGGAUUAAUACCCUAUGUUUUCCGAGGAGGACAUCUGACUUGGAACAAAGAUUCAUCGCUAUGGGAUGGGGAUGCGUCCGAUUAGCUUGUUGGCGGGGUGACGGCCCACCAAGGCGACGAUCGGUAGGGGUUCUGAGAGGAAGGUCCCCCACACUGGUACUGAGACACGGACCAGACUCCUACGGGAGGCAGCAGUGAGGAAUAUUGGUCAAUGGGCGAGAGCCUGAACCAGCCAAGUAGCGUGCAGGAAGACGGCCCUACGGGUUGUAAACUGCUUUUAUCAGGGGAUAAAGUGUGGGACGCGUCCCUCAUUGCAGGUACCUGAUGAAUAAGGACCGGCUAAUUCCGUGCCAGCAGCGGC
rnacentral:rRNA from 1 species